rnacentral:lncRNA from 1 species
AUGCUCCAGAGGAGCCCAGGGCUGGGUUUCCUGGGAUUUGGUUCUGGGAAUGAGCUCCUAGAGCAGCUCCUGACCUUUUCUGCAGCACUCCAGGAGCCUGAUUUCCAAAAGGUCCUCGACACUCGCACAGCAGGGGCAGCCUGGAGACAAUUCCUGAGCUUCAGGAGCAGCCUGGAGAGCAUCCCUGGGUUCAGGAGCAGCCUGGAGCCAAUUCCUGGGACUCAGGCACAGCCUGGAGCCCAUCCCUGGGUUCAGGGACAGCCUGGAGCCCAUCCCUGGGUUCAGGAGCAGCCUGGAGCCCAUUCCUGGAACUCAGGGACAGCCUGGAGCCCAUCCUUGGGACUCAGGAGCAGCCUGGAGCCCAUCCCUGGGGUUCAGGGACAGCCUGGAGCCCAUCCCUGGGUUCAGGGACAGCCUGGAGCCCAUCCCUGGAGUUCAGCAGCAGCCUGGAGCCAAUUCCUGGGGUUCAGGGACAGCCUGGAGCCCAUCCCUGGGUUCAGGGACAGCCUGGAGCCCAUCCCUGGGACUCAGGAGCAGCCUGGAGCCCAUCCCUGGGUUCAGGAUCCCUGCAGGAAGGUGCAUGAGCUGCCUGAGCCCCCUGGGUCCUGCCUUUGCCCCCUUCCCGGGGCUGUGGGGCACAGCUGCCCCUCGGGAUGCCAACCCCACACCUCUGCUCAUCCCAUGGGGAUCCGGGCCCAUGGCAGAGCUGCUGUCCCUGUGCCCCCAAGGAAAACCUCUGCAGCUGCUCAGCCCCACAGAAACUGUCCCCAACCCUCUCUGAAGGGCUCCUGUCCCACAGGGACCCUCGGGGAAGGCGGUGCUGCCCCCGGUGCCCUCCAAAGCCGCCAUCCCUGGGGUAGGGAAGGCGGCAGCGGGGUCGUGCUGGGGCAGAACCCGCACUUCCAGCUCUGCUCCGUGCCCUUUGUGCGGGUUCCCGGCCGAGGCCGUGCCCAGCCCGGGCGCCGCUUCCAUGCGGCUCCGCCACCGGGGGCUGCGGCUUCCCGGCCGGGGUGGGGCCGGAGCCGGGGCUGGAAUUGCCUCAGCCACCGGCCUUUAAUUCCC